UUUCUGUAGGUGAACCUGCGGAAGGAUCAUUAUUGUAUAACCGAGGUGCGAGGGCUGUCGCUGACCCGAAAGGUCGUGCACGCCCGAGUGCCCUCACACACAUCCAUCUCACCCCUAUGUGCACCACCGCGUGGGUCCCCCUUUGGCGUGUUCGGAGGGGGGCUUACGUUGUCACACAAACUUUGUAUGCAGUGUAGAAUGUAUUUUUUGUUUUUGCGAUCACGCAAUCAAUACAACUUUCAACAACGGAUCUCUUGGCUCUC
rnacentral:misc_RNA from 1 species